rnacentral:rRNA from 1 species
CCUACGGGAGGCUGCAGUGGGGAAUAUUGGACAAUGGGGGGAACCCUGAUCCAGCCAUGCCGCGUGUGUGAAGAAGGCCCUCGGGUUGUAAAGCACUUUCAGUGAGGAAGAACGCCUGGUGGUUAAUACCCAUCAGGAAAGACAUCACUCACAGAAGAAGCACCGGCUAACUCCGUGCCAGCAGCCGCGGUAAUACGGAGGGUGCGAGCGUUAAUCGGAAUUACUGGGCGUAAAGCGCGCGUAGGUGGCUUGAUAAGCCGGUUGUGAAAGCCCCGGGCUCAACCUGGGAACGGCAUCCGGAACUGUCAAGCUAGAGUGCAGGAGAGGAAGGUAGAAUUCCCGGUUUAGCGGUGAAAUGCGUAGAGAUCGGGAGGAAUACCAGUGGCGAAGGCGGCCUUCUGGACUGACACUGACACUGAGGUGCGAAAGCGUGGGUAGCAAACAGGAUUAGAUACCCGAGUAGUC